rnacentral:rRNA from 1 species
UAAAUUGAGAGUUUGAUCCUGGCUCAGGACGAACGCUGGCGGCGUGCCUAACACAUGCAAGUCGAGCGGAGAAAGUUCUUCGGAACUUUCUCAGCGGCGGACGGGUGAGUAACACGUGGGUAACCUGCCUUAUAGAGGGGGAUAGCCUUCCGAAAGGAAGAUUAAUACCGCAUAACAUUUUCGUUUCGCAUGAAAUGAAAAUCAAAGGAGUAAUCCGCUAUAAGAUGGACCCGCGGCGCAUUAGCUAGUUGGUGAGGUAAUGGCUCACCAAGGCGACGAUGCGUAGCCGACCUGAGAGGGUGAUCGGCCACAUUGGAACUGAGAUACGGUCCAGACU